rnacentral:rRNA from 1 species
UACGAAGGGGGCUAGCGUUGCUCGGAAUCACUGGGCGUAAAGCGCACGUAGGCGGAUUCUUAAGUCAGGGGUGAAAUCCUGGAGCUCAACUCCAGAACUGCCUUUGAUACUGGGAGUCUCGAGUCCGGGAGAGGUGAGUGGAACUGCGAGUGUAGAGGUGAAAUUCGUAGAUAUUCGCAAGAACACCAGUGGCGAAGGCGGCUCACUGGCCCGGUACUGACGCUGAGGCGCGAAAGCGUGGGGAGCAAACAGG